GCGCUUUUAAUAAAAUAUUUAAAAAAAAAUAUUUCAAGUCCCAAAGUAAUAUAAAAAUUAAAUUAACAAUUUAAUAAAAAUUUAUUUACUAUAUACUGCCAUGUUAAUGUAAUUAAUGAUAUUAGAACAUUUGUUCUCAAAAUGCUAACACUGUAAAGCCCAAGAUACAUCUUCUUUAUUAUAUUGAACCAUAAAUUUUAGAUGUUAAUGAAGCCUUAUGAUAAUUUUUGUACUCUUCCUUAUAUAUAUAUUAAAAGGACCCAUUUUAAU
rnacentral:misc_RNA from 1 species